AACGGAUGUCCAGGUCUCCAGUCGUACUUGUGCACAUGAACACAGCGCUUCAUCAGCUCUGUCCUUCAGUGGAGACUGAUGACAACAGCAGAACCCGCCGGAGGAGGAGCCUGAGCUCUCCAGAGGAGCUGCCCAUGGCAAGGCCUAACGGAGACAGAUGCUCAUGGGUGAACGUCAGGAGUGACCCAUCGCUGUAGUUCAUUCAGCUCACAAGAGGCAGCUUAAAGGAGAAACCAAAGGCAACAUCAGCAGAACUUCUGAACAGAUAACCGC